rnacentral:tRNA from 1 species
GCCCUCGUCGUCUAGUGGUUUAGGACACAGCCCUUUCACGGCUGCAACAGGGAUUCGAAUUCCCUCGAGGGUACCA